GUUUCAAGGCAAGAGAAAGGUGUGUGGUUUAGGGGCUCAGAUUAGAGUAAGAGUAGGUACACACUCCAUAGACAAAGUGCAGGCCAUCUCCAAAGAAGAGGGAGAGUGGCAGCGACA